UUUCCGUAGGUGAACCUGCGGAAGGAUCAUUAUCGAUUUGUGAAACUUCAUGCUGCUUCUGGCUCGCCACGUAAGCCAUUUUUACGCUUGUCGCCGCUUAUUUCCCCCCCGGUCCCCACACUGUCGACCCCCCAGUCGGCCUAUAUUGUUUUUCACAAUCACUGCAUGUAUUAGAACUGUUUACAAUCUAGGUCAAUACUAUACAACUUUCAGCAACGGAUUCCUUGGCUCACGCAUCACGGAACAACUCAGCAGAUCGGACGCGCGCACGUCUGA
rnacentral:misc_RNA from 1 species